AGAGUUUGAUCCUGGCUCAGGAUGAACGCUAGCUACAGGCUUAACACAUGCAAGUCGAGGGGCAGCAUGGUCUUAGCUUGCUAAGGCCGAUGGCGACCGGCGCACGGGUGAGUACACGUAUCCAACCUGCCGUCUACUCUUGGACAGCCUUCUGAAAGGAAGNUUAAUACAAGAUGGCAUCAUGAGUCCGCAUGUUCACAUGAUUAAAGGUAUUCCGGUAGACGAUGGGGAUGCGUUCCAUUAGAUAGUAGGCGGGGUAACGGCCCACCUAGUCUUCGAUGGAUAGGGGUUCUGAGAGGAAGGUCCCCCACAUUGGAACUGAGACACGGUCCAAACUCCUACGGGAGGCAGCA
rnacentral:rRNA from 1 species